AUAAAGAAAUGCAAGUGAGACGAGAGAGCGUGGGAGAAGGGAUCCACGGAUGAUUAGUUUUUCUUUUGGGAAAGAGGGAUGCCAAAAAGGUCGUCGACACGGGAGCAUCAUCCUAGUUUGACCGACUUGGAGACCGAGAGAGGCGAUGAGGAGGAAAGCAAGGAAAUGAAAAGACGCAGAAAUAAUUUCUUUAUCCAAUGACAAGGAAAGGAGCAAAUAACCCCUUAAUUUCUUUGUUGCCUUGUCUCCUUUUGUUCCACUUGGGUUUCUUUGCGUCUCCGCCACUCUCUCUCUCUCUCUCUCUCUCUCUCUGUCUCGCGCCCGCGCCCCCCCCACCCUCGAACCCUCUGUAUCUUGCUAAACCUCUGCUUGAAUCCAUAAUCAAUUCUUCACAAGGUUGUUCGAGAUAGGUGCCCUUGAAAUAUACCAUUUUUCUCUUCUUUGGGUUUCUCUUUCUUUGAAGAAUUUAAUUGUUUUUGUUAAUCUUAGUUUGAUGAGGGUUUUAUCUACGGAUUCUUGAUUUUGGAGGUUCCGCCAAACCUGGGCUGCUCUCAAAAUCUGAUUUUUCUUCUGUACCGUCCGCGUUUCCGCAAUGGCCUUCUUCAUCAAGGUCUCUCUUCCCGUUGCCAAACACCCUUGGAGUGAAGGUUCGCGAAGCUGAGGCGGAAGAGGAGCAACGAUCCUGAAAAGGCGACAAGGCAACAAAGAAAUUAAGGGGUUAUUUGCUGCAAGGAUUCUUGGUAUCAGAGCCCAUAUGUGAUGAAGAUAUGCUAUUCUUGAGCCAAGAUCUAUGAUCUUGAUGUUAUUCUGAUCCUCUAGUUAUUCUAGAGAAGACCUACUAUAAACCUGUUAUCAUUAUUAUUGAUAGUGGAAGUUUGAGGUGGACUGCGGUCCCGUGGUUUUUCCCA